UAUAAAAAUGUAACAACGAAGUUAACAAAAGUUUUCAUACAUUUAAUAUACGUUAUAUUUGAAAAAUUUUGGUGAAGUUAUGAAAGUCCUGCCGUAGUAAGCCUUGUCGUAAAGCUCGGGUUUGGAGGGUCGACGUUAACUAUUGUGAAGACACGUGCUCAAAGAACGAACGUUGUACUCCCCAUUGUAUUUCAGGAGGACUGAAGUUGACGAACUCGUUAGGACUUCCAAGAAUAACUAUCGAGUAAAUAAGAUGAAGUAGACGAGAACUACAAUUAUUCAAUGUUUUCUGAGUCCAUGAAGACCAAGCAUAUGUAUGGUGUUGUAUAAGAAUAUUGCUGUGCCCAAAGACAAACUCACUCACUUGAAGAAUUUGCUAUAUAUUUCUGGUGUUCCAGGCGGUCUGAUGCCCUCCACCAGGGUAGCCGAGGUUUUCUGCCUCUUCCUGGUGUUAAUGAUUGUCAUUAUUCCUUCUACUGC